UCUUGACUAGUAUAUCGGUUAGUACACGCGCUUGUCAUGAAUUGCUUAUAAGCAAUUGCGCGCGAAAGCUGGGUUCGACUCCCAGGUCGAGAG